AUUGAACGCUGGCGGCAGGCCUAACACAUGCAAGUCGAGCGGAUGAAGGGAGCUUGCUCCUGGAUUCAGCGGCGGACGGGUGAGUAAUGCCUAGGAAUCUGCCUGGUAGUGGGGGAUAACGUCCGGAAACGGGCGCUAAUACCGCAUACGUCCUGAGGGAGAAAGUGGGGGAUCUUCGGACCUCACGCUAUCAGAUGAGCCUAGGUCGGAUUAGCUAGUUGGUGGGGUAAAGGCCUACCAAGGCGACGAUCCGUAACUGGUCUGAGAGGAUGAUCAGUCACACCGGAACUGAGACACGGUCCAGACUCCUACGGGAGGCAGCAGUGGGAAUAUUGGACAAUGGGCGAAAGCCUGAUCCAGCCAUGCCGCGUGUGUGAAGAAGGUCUUCGGAUUGUAAAGCACUUUAAGUUGGGAGGAAGGGCAGUAAGUUAAUACCUUGCUGUUUUGACGUUACCAACAGAAUAAGCACCGGCUAACUUCGUG
rnacentral:rRNA from 1 species